rnacentral:rRNA from 1 species
UACGAAGGGGGCUAGCGUUGUUCGGAUUUACUGGGCGUAAAGGGCGCGCAGGCGGCUACGCACGUCCGUUGUGAAAUCGCUCGGCUCAACUGGGCGGGGUCAGCGGAUACGGCGUAGCUGGAGCAAGCUAGGGGGCAAUGGAAUUCCCGGUGUAGUGGUGGAAUGCGUAGAUAUCGUAAGGAAGACCAGUGGCGAAGGCGGGUCUCUGGACAGUUCCUGACGCUGAGGCACGAAGGCCAGGGGAGCAAACGGG